AGAGUCAAAACGCAGUGCAAAACAACUCUGAAACAGACUAUUUUGCAGGAAUGAACAAACUGUCCUUAUUUUUGCCAGUCAGAUCAGGAAGCUCAUUUGACUCUCCUCUUGAUUGUACAGUAGCUAGUGUUGACCUAAGUCAAACAGUGUAAAAAUAGGCACCAGUAAGCGUGGGGCUGCUCUCAUGAGGGCAAUACAGGCUUGAAGGAGAAUAUGCUGGUCAUAAAACCCUGUCUGUGUGGGAUCAAACUUCAAGACUUGAAAGAUGUUUUGCUCUGUCCACAAAAGAAGUGAUACAGAUCUCACUCAGUUUGAAUAUCUGAAACCCACUGUGCCCACUGUGAAGUUCAACUGCUUCUAUCUGACAUGAUAGAGGGAGCUCAAGAUCAUGAGUGCUCUUAUCCUGAAAUGAGUCUCAGAGGCUGUGAGACACCUCCUAGAGGGGCUACCGUGUAUUCUGGGAUGGGUCUAAUUCAGCCUAACCACCUCUACUUUGAAAGGACUAAAAUUAGGUGAGGUUGAUUCUUCCCAUUCCCCAACCCCCAGAGAAUCCAACGCGUUUCAGACUGCUGUGGCUCUCAUGUCUCAGAAGCAAAUGUUAAGGCCUUUAUUUAGCUGAGGGAUCCUCCUGUGUGUUCCGCCCAGACUCACAGGUGAAAACUUUACCUUGUUGACAGCAAAGGAGAGCUCUACAGCAAAUGAUUCUGGCCCAGAAAGCUAUUGGAUCCCCUGCAGUCCCUUUCUUGAAGUUACUUCAUGGGUUUAGCUGGACUUUCCUUCACAAACAAAAUUGGAGCAUGAUGGCUACUGGCAUGUUUGUGAAGAUCCAACCAAGAGGACCAGUGGGACUUUAAUCCCCACUAGAUGUGCCCACUCCCAGUCCUCAAGGCAAAAAAUACAGCACCCUGGGUGUUGGUUUGUGUGUCAGAGAAUUUGCACAUCCUGGUGGAGCUACCCUGCUGAACACGGCCUUGGAGGAGGUCUCACUUUGUGUAAUCAUCCACUCUAAAGCUUCUCCACAGCUUGAAAUUCAUUUUUGUAUGGAAAAGAAGGACUUUAUAGGCAGUAAUACUUCAAGAAGUCAAGACGUUCUCCUUUGUACGGGGAGACACUUAAGCCCUUCAUGGGAUUUGGGGGGGGGGAAGAGAAAGGGAAAAAAAAACCUAGAAUCUGUGGUAGCUCAUCCUUGAAGGACAUACAGUUCCACUGCACAGCUGCAUAGGAAAAGAUACUCACUUUGUUCUGCUUUAUAUUUUUUUGUUAAAGGUCUGGAGCUUAAAUUUUAAAGCAAGCCUUCGGGAACACACUGUGAUGCAGACCAUCAGUAUGAAUAAAAU
ensembl:lncRNA